AAAAAGACAUAUUGACGUAGAAGGCUUAUCUCAUAUAUGAUUUAGAAUUGAUCACCUCACGUAAAAUAUAGUAUAGUUCGUGUAUUCUCUUAUGUUAAGAUUACUAUUUUGAAGAUUAUCGAGAACAUAACCUAAGGAAUAUGAUUUAAAAUAUAAUAUAAGUUUAAAUUUUUAUUUUAUUGCAAAAAGUACAAGAUGGAUAUGAUUUUUGAAAUUAUUAUGUGAAAUAGAUAAUCAAGAAAAGUUGCUUAGAAAUUAAGUAAUUUUGUUUCUAAUUUGAUAAAAACAUAACCAAAUGACAGCUUUCAAACACAUAGGCUAUCUUGACUUAUUUAAAAUUAUAAUUGUAAGCUGAUUUUUAUUCGUUACAUUGGAUACAUCAAUUAAUAAUACACAUGUUACAUGAUUGUGUAAAUAUUACUUAAUGAAUAUAUGUGAUAGAAUAUCUUUAAAAGUAUCUUUAUAAACGUGUGGGAAUGGGCAAUUGCUUGUGCAAAGAUAUUCCUGAAGAACUUGAAGUACAUCAUGGACAUAAUCAUGCAAAUACUGAAAAUACUAUAUUACCAGAAUCAAAUGUAGGCACAGUUGCCUCUAAUGAUAUGAACAUUACAACUUUUAAAUUUCCAACUUCAGCUAACAUUGACAAAUUAGUACUUGAAACUCUUGGAGUAAUUGGUUCUCUUGUUGAUAAUGAGCAAGAACCACCACCUGCACUGUUAAAAUUACAUGCUAUUGCUGAUAAAGAAGAUGGAUGGAUACAAGUUGUGAGUUCAAUGGUUAAUAUUAUUCCUAUGCAUAAUCCACUAGGUCCUUCGGUUAUCACUCUUUUAUUAGAUGAUUGUCCAUUACCAUCAAAGGAAUUAGUUUUACGAUUGUCACACAUGUUUCAAUUAUCUCAAAAACUUGGAAAUAUACAAACCAGUGCAACUCAGCAACGUAACAUCUGUGUUGUAUUGGGUUGUAUAGCAGAAAAAUUAACUGGCCCCAGUAGUAUUGCUAUAUUAUCCGAUGAAACUUUGGACUAUCUUAUUUCAAAUCUUAAGGAAAAUAUUGAUCCUUAUGUGGUACUGUAUUCAUUAAUAGCUUUGGAAAAAUUUGCACAAACAAGUGAGAAUAAAAUAACUAUAAAAAAACGUUUAAUGGCAGAAAAACCAAAUCCAUUAUUAGAAUUGGAAAAAUGGGCAACAGAAACUCAUUAUGUACGUCGUCAAGUAGGUUUUUGUGCGCGAUGGUGUUUAGAUAAUUUGCUUAUAAUGGAAGGUAGAAAAUAUUCUCAUGAUUCAGUUGAUAUGUCUGGUAUUAAUGUAAUGUUAAAUACAAAAGAUGUAAGCGAGUACCUGAAAAUAUCACCUAAUGGCUUAGAAGCUCGGUGUGAUGCAUAUUCAUUUGAAAGUGUAAGAUGUACAUUUCAAGUAGAUUCGGGAAUUUGGUAUUAUGAAACACUUGUUAUAACUACAGGUGUAAUGCAAAUUGGAUGGGCUACUAAAAAUAGCACAUUUUUAAAUCACGAAGGAUAUGGCAUAGGGGAUGAUGAAUAUUCUUUGGCCUAUGAUGGUUGUCGUCGAUUAAUUUGGUAUAAUGCAAAGAGUGAAAGAAAUCAUGAUAGACCUUGUUGGAAAGCUGGUGAUAUUUUGGGUUGUUUAUUAGAUUUGAACAAAUUGGAAAUAAUAUUUUCCAUAAAUGGUGUACCAUUGAAACCAUGUGUUCAAGUUUUCAAAACAGUACGGUCUGGAUUUUUUGCAGCAGCUAGUUUUAUGUCAUUCCAACAAUGUCUUUUUAAUUUUGGAAAUGUACCAUUUAAGUAUCCUCCUACCGAUCGCGAAUAUAAAAAAUUUAACGAUUAUGCUAGUUUGAAGCCUGAAGAUAAAGUUGUGCUUCCUAGACACAUAUAUCUAGAUCAAUUGAGGAAACUUAGCGUUAGAGAAGAUUCAUGUACAUUGUGUUUUGACCAAAGAGCUUCAGUAAGAUUGCUACCUUGCAAUCAUAGAGGAUUUUGCCAAACGUGUUCGAAUCAAUUGAUAGAGUGUCCAAUGUGUAGAGCUACAAUCGAAGAAGUAGCAACCGAUAACACAUGACAUCACAUAAGCGUAUCAAUAUUUAAUACUCUUCCAUUACCUUUCUCAUAUUAUAUAAUUCUCAGGAAUUGUCGCGAGUAUUUUAAAUCAAGAGAAGGACUACAAAUCACAGAAAGCAAAGUUGCAUUUAAAUAUCACAUCUCUGAGAUAUAUCAUUUUGAAUGUUGCAUUCAUAUACGUAGAUAUAAUUAUAUAUAAAUUAUCACAUUGCAAAUUCAAAUUACAGAAGAAUAUCACCUUCUACUAUUUAUCGGCUGUGCAAAUUAUUUUCCCUAGGUUUUACCUAAGUAUGCCUUACAUCUAAUUAAAUAUUUAAAGUAAAAUAGUGAGAUAAAAUUUAAAUAUUUUUUUUACGCUAUACAGAUUAGAAACAAAGAAUUUGCAAUUUACAUCUGAAUUGCUACGAAUAUACAUUUCCAAUUUAGUAUUUGUGACUGGUUCACAAAUACAUAUGUAGUGGACACUAUUUUGUCUAUGAACGUGAAAUUCUUUUCUGUUAAAUUAUGAAAAUCUGUAUCACAUGUCAAUAUCGACAAACAAAUAACUGAAUUUGUGCUGUAAUGUAAGAUUGAUUUUAGAAAACUGUAAAAUAUUAAUAUCUUGUAGUAUAUGAAAAAAAAUAUAUAUAUAAAUAUAUAUAUAUAUAUAUGUGUAUGUAUAUAUAUAUAAGUAUAUAUAUAUAAUCAUAUUAUAUUCUUAUGAAGAUAUAAAAUGUUAUC